GGGGUAAGGGCCCAACAAGGCUACGAUCCAUAGCUGAUUUGAGAGGAUGAUCAGCCACAUUGGGACUGAGAAACGGCCCAAACUCCUACGGGAGGCAGCAGUGGGGAAUAUUGGACAAUGGGGGCAACCCUGAUCCAGCAAUUCCAUGUGUGUGAAGAAGGCCCUAGGGUUGUAAAGCACUUUAGUUGGGGAGGAAAGCCUCAAGUUUAAUAGCCUUGGGGGAGGACGUUACCCAA
rnacentral:rRNA from 1 species